rnacentral:sRNA from 1 species
CAUUAUUGAAUAUUCUUGAUGGGUUGUAGCUGGCUCUCCGGGGCAUGUGCACACUUGUCUUGACUUUAUUCGUCCACCUGUGCACCUUUUGUAGUCUUGGGGGUUGAGAACAAAUCGACUAUCGGAUGGCUAUGGCCUUUCCGGACGUGAGGAUUGCUGAGUGUGAAAGCAUACAGCUCUUCUCAAAUGACUUGUAAACUCUCCCUCGAGUACUAUGUAUUCAUAUACCACAUAGUAUGUUGUAGAAUGUGAUCAAUGGGCCUACGUGCCUAUAAUAAUCAUAUACAACUUUCAGCAACGGAUCUCUUGGCUCUCGCAUCGAUGAAGAACGCAGCGAAAUGCGAUAAGUAAUGUGAAUUGCAGAAUUCAGUGAAUCAUCGAAUCUUUGAACGCACCUUGCGCUCCUUGGUAUUCCGAGGAGCAUGCCUGUUUGAGUGUCAUUAAAUUCUCAACCCUUCCAGCUUUUGCGAGUUGUGAUGGGCUUGGAUAUGGGAGUUUGCGGGUCUUUAUCAAUAAAGGUCAGCUCUCCUGAAAUACAUUAGCGGAACCGUUUGCAGUCCCGUCACUAGUGUGAUAAUUAUCUACACUGUGAUGAUUGCUCUCUGACUAGUUCAGCUGCUAAUCGUCCACUAUGGACAACACUUAAUGAACUUCUUGACCUCAAAUCAGGUAGGACUACCCGCUGAACUUAAGCAUAC